rnacentral:rRNA from 1 species
UAGGGAAUCUUCCACAAUGGACGCAAGUCUGAUGGAGCAACGCCGCGUGAGUGAAGAAGGUCUUCGGAUCGUAAAGCUCUGUUGUUGGUGAAGAAGGAUAGAGGCAGUAACUGGUCUUUAUUUGACGGUAAUCAACCAGAAAGUCACGGCUAACUACGUGCCAGCAGCCGCGGUAAUACGUAGGUGGCAAGCGUUGUCCGGAUUUAUUGGGCGUAAAGCGAGUGCAGGCGGAAUGAUAAGUCUGAUGUGAAAGCCCACGGCUCAACCGUGGAACUGCAUCGGAAACUGUCAUUCUUGAGUGCAGAAGAGGAGAGUGGAACUCCAUGUGUAGCGGUGGAAUGCGUAGAUAUAUGGAAGAACACCAGUGGCGAAGGCGGCUCUCUGGUCUGCAACUGACGCUGAGGCUCGAAAGCAUGGGUAGCGAACAGGAUUAGAUACCCUGGUAGUCCAUGCCGUAAACGAUGAGCGCUAGGUGUUGGGGACUUUCCGGUCCUCAGUGCCGCAGCAAACGCAUUAAGCGCUCCGCCUGGGGAGUACGACCGCAAGGUUGAAAC